rnacentral:tRNA from 1 species
CGCGCGGUGGAGCAGCCCGGUAGCUCGUCGGGCUCAUAACCCGAAGGUCAUAGGUUCAAAUCCUGUCCGCGCAACCA